CGGUGGAUGCCUCGGCUCGGGCGCCGAAGAAGGACGUGGCAAGCUGCGAAAAGCCCCGGGUAGCCGCAUGCAGGCUUAGAUCCGGGGAUCUCCGAAUGGGACUUCCUGGAACCCGACACCUUCAAACUGUCGGGUUUCGCUCCCGGGUAUAAGCCUGGGAGUGGGAACCCCCCGAACGGAAACAUCCAAGUAGGGGGAGGAGAAGAAACCAAAAUGGGAUUCCCCGAGUACCGGCGAGGGAAAGGGGAGGAGCCCAAACCAAACCCUCAGGGGAUAACUCUGAGGGGAUGUGGGGUGAUGGGCCCGGGGCCCACCCCAGCCCACUGACCCGAAGUGCCCUGGAAUGGGCCGCCAUAGAGGGUGAUAGCCCCGUAGGGGAAGGUGGGAGGGGUGAUGCCCGGGUCCCCGAGUACCACACCUUGGAUAUGGUGUGGGAAGUUGGGGGCCAUCGGCCUCCAAGGCUAAAUACGUCCCGAGACCGAUAGCGCACCAGUAGCGUGAGCGAAAGGUGAAAAGUACCCCGAGAGGGGGGUGAAAAGCGCCUGAAACCGGCCGGUAACAGACGUGUGCGGCCCGAAAGGGUAAUCCCUCCGAAGACCUCUACAUGGAGGUCGAGGAGGGAUACCAGGGUCGCAUGCUCCGUCUUGAACCACGGGCCGGGGAGUGCAUGGUCGUGGCGAGUCUAAGGGUUCGCCAAGACCCGUAGGCGUAGGGAAACCAACUUGCCCGCAGGAGAGGUUUAAACCUCUCCGAGGGGCGGGGUCCCAUAAGGGCCUGAAGCCACGGCCAUGCGACUAGAAACCGGGCGAUCUAGCCCUGGGCAGGGUGAAGCCGGGGGAAACCCCGGUCGAGGC
rnacentral:rRNA from 1 species